UUGUCUCAAAGAUUAAGCCAUGCAUGUCUCAGUACAAGCCAAAUUAAGGUGAAACCGCGAAAGGCUCAUUAAAUCAGUUAUGGUUCCUUAGAUCGUACCCACAUUUACUUGGAUAACUGUGGUAAUUCUAGAGCUAAUACAUGCAAACAGAGUUCCGACCGGAGACGGAAGGAACGCUUUUAUUAGAUCAAAACCAAUCGGUGGCGGGUUUUCUCGUCAUCGUACAAUUUGGUGACUCUGAAUAACUUUAUGCUGAUCGCACGGUCUUGCACCGGCGACGUAUCUUUCAAAUGUCUGCCUUAUCAACUUUCGAUGGUAGGUUCUGCGCCUACCAUGGUUGUAACGGGUAACGGGGAAUCAGGGUUCGAUUCCGGAGAGGGAGCCUGAGAAACGGCUACCACAUCCAAGGAAGGCAGCAGGCGCGCAAAUUACCCACUCCCGGCACGGGGAGGUAGUGACGAAAAAUAACGAUACGGGACUCAUCCGAGGCCCCGUAAUCGGAAUGAGUACACUCUAAACCCUUUAACGAGGAUCAAUUGGAGGGCAAGUCUGGUGCCAGCAGCCGCGGUAAUUCCAGCUCCAAUAGCGUAUAUUAAAGUUGUUGCGGUUAAAAAGCUCGUAGUCGAAUUUGUGUCUCGCUCCGUCGGUUCAUCGUUCGCGGUGUUAACUGGCGUACAGCGAGACGUCCUGCCGGUGGGCUUAGCUCGCAAGGGCGGCCCAACUUAAUCCUGCCGCGGUGCUCUUCAUUGAGUGUCGAGGUGGGCCGGUACAUUUACUUUGAACAAAUUAGAGUGCUUAAAGCAGGCUAAAAUUUUGCCUGAAUACUGUGUGCAUGGAAUAAUGGAAUAGGACCUCGGUUCUAUUUUGUUGGUUUUCGGAACCCCGAGGUAAUGAUUAAUAGGAACGGAUGGGGGCAUUCGUAUUGCGACGUUAGAGGUGAAAUUCUUGGACCGUCGCAAGACGGACAGAAGCGAAAGCAUUUGCCAAAAACGUUUUCAUUGAUCAAGAACGAAAGUUAGAGGUUCGAAGGCGAUCAGAUACCGCCCUAGUUCUAACCAUAAACGAUGCCAGCUAGCGAUCCGCCGACGUUCCUCCGAUGACUCGGCGGGCAGCUUCCGGGAAACCAAAGCUUUUGGGUUCCGGGGGAAGUAUGGUUGCAAAGCUGAAACUUAAAGGAAUUGACGGAAGGGCACCACCAGGAGUGGAGCCUGCGGCUUAAUUUGACUCAACACGGGAAACCUCACCAGGCCCGGACACCGGAAGGAUUGACAGAUUGAGAGCUCUUUCUUGAUUCGGUGGGUGGUGGUGCAUGGCCGUUCUUAGUUGGUGGAGCGAUUUGUCUGGUUAAUUCCGAUAACGAACGAGACUCUAGCCUGCUAACUAGGCGCUUUUCGACAUCCCAAAGGCCCGCCUGCUCAGAAUGGUUUUACCGCCAUUUCUGUGGUAGUGCGCGGUUUUUACUGUCGGCGUUUAAACAAUUCUUCUUAGAGGGACAGGCGGCUUCUAGCCGCACGAGAUUGAGUAAUAACAGGUCUGUGAUGCCCUUAGAUGUUCUGGGCCGCACGCGCGCUACACUGAAGGAAUCAACGUGUCCUCCCUGUCCGAACGGACCGGGUAACCCGCUGAACCUCCUUCGUGCUAGGGAUUGGGGCUUGCAAUUGUUCCCCAUGAACGAGGAAUUCCCAGUAAGCGUAAGUCAUAAGCUUGCGUUGAUUACGUCCCUGCCCUUUGUACACACCGCCCGUCGCUACUACCGAUUGAAUGAUUCAGUGAGGUCUUCGGACUGAUACGCGGUGAUAUUUCGGUAUUACCGAUGUUGUUGGAAAGAUGACCAAACUUGAUCAUUU
rnacentral:rRNA from 1 species